rnacentral:rRNA from 1 species
CGAGUGAAGGAGGGAGAGCUCAAUUUGGAUCCUGCGUCUUAGCGUCCGAAAUGUAAUCUAGAGAAGUGUUUCCGUGACGGACCGUGCACAAGUCUCCUGGAAAUGAGCGUCAUAGAGGGUGAGAAUCCCGUAUAUGGCAUGGACUGCCGUUGCUCUGUGAUACACUCUCGACGAGUCGAGUUGUUUGGGAAUGCAGCUCUAAAUGGGUGGUAAAUGCCAUCUAAAGCUAAAUAUUGGCGAGAGACCGAUAGCGAACAAGUACCGUGAGGGAAAGAUGAAAAGCACUUUGGAAAGAGAGUGAAACAGUACGUGAAAUUGUUGAGAGGGAAACGCUUGAAGUCAGUCGCGCCGUUCGGGAUUCAGCCUUGCUUCUGCUCGGUUUACUUCCUGUUGGGUGGGUCAACAUCAGUUUUGGUCGGAGGAGAAAGGCUUGGGGAAUGUGGCAGCAUUCGUGCUGUGUUAUAGCCCCUCGUUGUAUACUUCGGCUGGGACUGAGGACCGCAGCACGCCUUUGGCCGGGGUUCGCCCACGUACGUGCUUAGGAUGUUGGCA